GAGGGUACAGCUCAAGUGGUAAAGCCCUUGCUUAGCAUGCAGGAGGUCUUGGGUUCAAUCCCCAGUACCUCCU
rnacentral:tRNA from 1 species